rnacentral:misc_RNA from 1 species
GAUGAAGAACGUAGUGAAAUGCGAUAAGUAAUGUGAAUUGCAGAAUUCAGUGAAUCAUCGAAUCUUUGAACGCACAUUGCGCCCCCUGGUAUUCCGGGGGGCAUGCCUGUUCGAGCGUCAUUUCAACCAUCAAGCCCCGGGCUUGUGUUGGGGACCUGCGGCUGCCGCAGGCCCUGAAAUGCAGUGGCGGGCUCGCUGUCACUCCGAGCGUAGUAGUUACAUCUCGCUCUGGGCGUGCUGCGGGUUCCGGCCGUUAAAAGCCUUAUUUACCCAAGGUUGACCUCGGAUCAGGUAGGAAGACCCGCUGAACUUAAGCAUAUCAAUAAGCGGAGGA